rnacentral:misc_RNA from 1 species
AAGGAUCAUUACAGUGUUCCCUGCCCUUAUGGGGUAGAAACGCCCACCCUUGUAUAUUAUAUCUUUGUUGCUUCGGCAGGCCGCCCUCGGGCACCGGCUCCGGCUGGAUCGUGCCUGCCAAAGGAAACCCAAACUCUGAAUAUUAGUGUCGUCUGAGUACUAUCUAAUAGUUAAAACUUUCAACAACGGAUCUCUUGGUUCUG